UACGGAGGGGGCUAGCGUUGCUCGGAAUUACUGGGCGUAAAGCGCACGUAGGCGGCGAUGAUAGUCAGAUGUGAAAGGCCUGGGCUCAACCCGGGAACUGCAUUUGAUACUGCAUUGCUAGAGUCCGAGAGAGGGUGGUGGAAUUCCCAGUGUAGAGGUGAAAUUCGUAGAUAUUGGGAAGAACACCAGUGGCGAAGGCGGCCACCUGGCUCGGUACUGACGCUGAGGUGCGAAAGCGUGGGGAGCGAACAGG
rnacentral:rRNA from 1 species